CUGCGGCUGGCCCGGUGUCACCUGCGUCGACGACGGCGGCGGUGGCAGGGUCGCAGCGUGGAGCUUGCCAACUUCUCACUCACAAGCUACCUCCCAUCCGAGUUGUUGCUACCUUACAACCAGCUUGCCGGCCAGAUCCCGGUCGCCAUCACGACGCUGCAGAAGCUCGCGGCGCUCCUGGCUCACAACCUCCACUCCAGCUAUAUUCCUGCGGAGAUUGGGCGGCGGUGGAGGUUAAAUCUUGGUGAGAAGGGCCGCAUGGGAGAGUUUCCUCGAGAUCCAGCCUUCCCCCUGUUGAGGUUCUCAGCAAGGCAGCGACUAUUGUUGCCCAUGAGCUUGUGGACAACAGAGGAAGAAAUGGCAACAACGAUGGAUGGCACCAACCCGAUGUUGUCGAUCCCAUCCCAUUCGUCACUGUCUAACCUCGAGGUCCCCAUCCCGGCCCGUCCCGUCCUCAUCCUCGCCACAGGAGGCGGCUGCUCCUCCCACCGUCGCCAUCCUCGCGUCCUGGACGGCGGAGUUGGCCAGAAGGAGGUCCCCUACCAGCCAACAGUCCCGUUGGAUCCUUCAGGGCCUCUUAAUUCGGGCAAUUUGGAGGCUGAUUUACUAUACUAG
rnacentral:lncRNA from 1 species